rnacentral:rRNA from 1 species
GACAGAGGAUGCAAGCGUUAUCCGGAAUGAUUGGGCGUAAAGCGUCUGUAGGUGGCUUUUUAAGUCCGCCGUCAAAUCCCAGGGCUCAACCCUGGACAGGCGGUGGAAACUACCAAGCUGGAGUACGGUAGGGGCAGAGGGAAUUUCCGGGUGGAGCGGUGAAAAUGCGUAGAGAUCGGAAAGAACACCAACGGCGAAAGCAACUCUGCUGGGCCGACACUGACAUGAGAGACGAAAGCUAGGGGAGCGAAUGGGAUUAGAAC